rnacentral:lncRNA from 1 species
GUGUUCCGGGACUCCUCUGUGUUAGGAGGAAGCCAAAAAUUGUGUGCACAUCAUGUGCAGGCUUUAAUUGGGUUAUCUCUUCUAAGACUCUUUAUGAAUGUGCAACCGUGGCAGAGGUUAUUCUUCAAAAUGUUUGUUCUCUACCUUUGGUUCUCAAGUUUACAUGAUUCUUGAGAAUCUGUAUAUUAGUUCUGUGUAGUGUUUGUUACUUUAAUCUUCUGGACGAAGGCAAUUAAAAGAGUGUAAAUGGUAAAUAUUUUGUUUGGUCUUGUGUAGGACUUCAUUGGGUACCUCUUUUGAAGUACAACUGUAAGAAGUCUGUUAGUGAAAUAUAUGCAGCAGUGACAAAAGCAAAUGACCAAAGCUUAUGAGGUAACUCCGCAUAGUGUAGAAAGGUGCGGGUUUUAAUAAUACAGCAAUGCGUUCUUUCAUCUGUGACAUUUAGUUUAACGUUCGAUGUGUUGUGAAGUUAGAGGUGUCAUAUUGAGA